rnacentral:tRNA from 1 species
AGAUACUUAGGUUAUAACUAAACCGGAGGCCUUCAAAGCCUCAAAUAGGGACUAGCCCCCUAGUAUCUG